rnacentral:rRNA from 1 species
UACGUAGGGGGCAAGCGUUGUCCGGAAUCAUUGGGCGUAAAGAGCGUGUAGGCGGCUUGGUAAGUCCGCUGUGAAAGUCCAGGGCUCAACCCUGGAAUGCCGGUGGAAACUGUCAGGCUCGAGUCCGGAAGAGGCGAGUGGAAUUCCAGGUGGUAGCGGUGAAAUGCGUAGAUAUCUGGAAGGAACACCGGUGGCGAAGGCGGCAUCCUGGACCAACACUGACGCGUGACGGAGCG